AUUGUCACAGUAGAAGAGAGAGACGCGCGGAUAGCUCAAAUUUGAAAUCUGCGUAAGCCGAGUUGUAAUUUGAAGAUGGCUACUUUGGUAAUGGCUCUUGUCUAUGUUCCUUGGAACAGGACGUCACAGAGGGUGAGAAUCCCGUGCGAUGAGAUGUCCAUUACCGUGUAAAGUGCUUUCGAAGAGUCGAGUUGUUUGGGAAUGCAGCUCUAAGUGGGUGGUAAAUUCCAUCUAAAGCUAAAUAUUGGCGAGAGACCGAUAGCGAACAAGUACAGUGAUGGAAAGAUGAAAAGAACUUUGAAAAAGAGAGUGAAAAAGUACGUGAAAUUG
rnacentral:rRNA from 1 species